rnacentral:miRNA from 1 species
UCAUUUCUAACCUCUUUGCAAUU